rnacentral:tRNA from 1 species
GGAGAGGGUUGUCGUGAGAGAACUCGAAAACCGUUAUACCCGUUUCGGGUAUCGAGAGUUCGAAUCUCUCCCUCUCCG